AGCUCCAAUAGCGUAUAUUAAAGUUGUUGCAGUUAAAAAGCUCGUAGUUGGAUCAUGGGAUUUGGUGUUGUGGUACAAUUAUUAUUGUUACUGCUCCACCAGCCUGUAUAGCCGUUGCACAUUUUGAAUGGCCUUUGUUGGUUGUUCUUAGUGGCCGGCAAGUUUACUUUGAAAAAAUUAGAGUGCUCAAAGCAGACUAACGUCUGGAUAAUGUUGCAUGGAAUAAUGAAAUAGGACUUUGUUCUUAUUUUAUUGGUUUUCUGGAAUGAGGUAAUGAUUAAAAGAGACAGUCGGGGGCAUUUGUAUGCUGGCGUUAGAGGUGAAAUUCUUAGAUCGUCGGCAGACAAACAACUGCGAAAGCAUUUGCCAAGAAUGUCUUCAUUAAUCAAGAACGAAAGUA
rnacentral:rRNA from 1 species